rnacentral:piRNA from 1 species
UGACAGUCGAGAAGAUCAUGCUCAGC